AAUUUUUGACAAUGGGGGAAACCCUGAUCCAGCCAUCCCGCGUGUGCGAUGAAGGACAUAGGGUUGUACAGCACUUUUCGCAGAGAAGAAAAGGCUCUGGCUAAUAAUCGCAACUGCUGACGGUACCUGCAGAAUAAGCACCGGCUAACUACGUGCCAGCAGCCGCGGUAAUACGUAGGGUGCAAGCGUUAAGCGGAAUUACUGGGCGUAAAGCGUGCGCAGGCGGUUUGGCAAGAAGGAUGUGAAAUCCCGGGGCUUAACCUCGGAACUGCAUUCUUAACUGCCAGGCUAGAGUAUGUCAGAGGGGGGUAGAAUUCCACGUGUAGCAGUGAAAUGCGUAGAGAUGUGGAGGAAUACCGAUGGCGAAGGCAGCCCCCUGGGAUAAUACUGACGCUCAUGCACGAAAGCGUGGGGAGCAAACA
rnacentral:rRNA from 1 species